rnacentral:lncRNA from 1 species
AAAAAUAUUAUUAUCCUUGUAAAACUACCCCGAAUCAGAUUUCUUUUGUUCCUUCCAAAACUGCCGCUCCCUUCCGCCUUACCAUCAAACUGCUGGUCCCUUCCGUCUAUCAUCCUUCUGCCCUUUCCGAUUUUCCUCCUCCCUCCGAUGAGAAGACCAGCAACCCGCUCUCGGUUUUGUCUGUCGGUCUCUCCGAAGUCGAUUACCACCUGCCUCCAUGGCCGAGAAGCCGAAUCUAGAUAUCGAAGGCGAUGAAAACGAUCCAAUCGUCCCGGAGGAAGAAAUACUUGGGCAUCUCUACUAGUGAGGAAUCAAGAAGACUGGAAAGGAGAAAUGAAAGAAUCCACCAGACGACAUGCAAGGCCAGAAACAGUAGGUACCACACAAUUUCUUCCAUAUUUAGUCCUUGCGGAGGUUUUUUUAAGGGUUUGUACCGAUUUAUGUUUGAUAUUCCGUCUAACUCAGUACUAUUGAAUGAUUCCUGGCACCGAGUUUUGUACCAGAGUGUUUGGGCUGGUACUGAAUCUUGUACCUGAGAAAAAGCUCCGGUGCUAUGUUCGGUUCCGUGUUAAUUUGCUCUGGUAUUGAGUUUUUGAACUGAGUUUUGUACCACAUAAUAUGCUCUGGUUCCCUGGUACAAGUUUUGUAUCAGAGUGUUUGCGCAGGUACUGAGUCCUGUACUUAAGAAAAGGUUAUGGUACUAUAUUCGUUUCCUUGUUAAUUUGCUCUCGUAUGGAGUUGUUGAACUGAGUUUUGUACCACAGAAUCUGCUCUGUUUCUGAAUUCUGUGCCUCAACAUGUAACUGAUUGUGGUACCUGAAAAACGUGUACCUCUUCAUUCCUAGAUUUUGAGAACUGGUUAUAUUGUUUCCUCCUUUACCUUUGUCUCCAUAUUCUGGUUUACUUAAUAGUCUUAGACAAAUGUGUUAAUUGCUAACAAACUAAGAUGUAGCCUUUCGUUGAAAUGUGCUUGAUUGUAUGCAGGAAGAGGCUGGUAUUUGGGGGAAGUAAUCGCAGUACGAAUAAGAUGUAGUCUAGUUAGGAUUCAUACAAUUGUUGUAAAUGUGUGGCAGACUACUUGAAUUAAAGAUUCAGAGAACCAACAAAGUCAAAGGGGUCUGAUAUUUUGAACUUAUACAUCAAGGCUGGCGUGCAUCUUCUAAUGGUAAGCAAAGUACUUUUGAUUUAGACUGCGAUCCAAAAACCUUACUAAUUUAAAUCCAUUGGUAUGUAUUUAUGAUAGGUUUGGGAAUGCACUACUGCAAGCCUAAUCCUACAUGCCAGAGUUGGGAUAAGACCAAGUUUCUAGCAGUCUUCAAUGAUCUGAAGACUAAGGAAGGGAACGUUUGGCGCAAUGAGGGGUCCCGUAGUCAAGAUCUCAAGAGUAUUCUCGAUACCAUGCCAUCAGGUUGGGGAGAUUCAUCCGUUGAUGAGGUACAUAGAGAUGUAAACAGAUUAACCACUAGAGGUUCAACGUUUGUUGAAAAAGAACUUCCAGCCUCGUCAACAAGGGUAGAAACCUAGUUUUUUGUUGUUGUCUUUCGGGAGCUUGGUGGUUGAUAAUCAGAAUUGGAUGUCUACUGUAAUUGAACUUGUUUCAGUACCCGAUAUUGUGGUUAGGUACAGCCUCGUAUGGAUAGCGGGUUUCACGGUACCAAUUUUGUGACAAUAUGGGUACUGUCAAUGGUCUCAUGGUACAAAUUUUGGGGAACAUACCAGAUAGACAAAUUUGGGAUUCCACCAUAUCCACAACUACAUCUAUUAAUGAGGCUGGAGGGUGAAACUCUUGAGAAUCCAUAGCCUGCUGAAAUUGGAAAGAACCAAG